GGGAGUUUAGCUUAGUGGUAGAGCAUUUGCUUAGCAUGCAAAGGUCUCAGAUUCAAUCCCAGCACUGCCG
rnacentral:tRNA from 1 species